AUUGAACGCUGGCGGCAGGCUUAACACAUGCAAGUCGAACGGUAACAGGGAGCUUGCUCCGCUGACGAGUGGCGAACGGGUGAGUAAUGCGUCGGAACGUGCCGAGUAGUGGGGGAUAACGCAGCGAAAGUUGUGCUAAUACCGCAUACGUACUGAGGUAGAAAGUGGGGGACCUUCGGGCCUCACGCUAUUCGAGCGGCCGACGUCUGAUUAGCUAGUAGGUGAGGUAAAGGCUCACCUAGGCGACGAUCAGUAGCGGGUCUGAGAGGAUGAUCCGCCACACUGGGACUGAGACACGGCCCAGACUCCUACGGGAGGCAGCAGUGGGGAAUUUUGGACAAUGGGCGAAAGCCUGAUCCAGCCAUGCCGCGUGUCUGAAGAAGGCCUUCGGGUUGUAAAGGACUUUUGUCGGGGAGGAAAUCCCCAGCGCUAAUACCGCUGGGGGAUGACAGUACCUGAAGAAUAAGCACCGGCUAACUACGUGCCAGCCGCCGCAGUAA
rnacentral:rRNA from 1 species